rnacentral:rRNA from 1 species
GCAGUCUGCAACUCGACUGCAUGAAGCUGGAAUCGCUAGUAAUCGCGAAUCAGAAUGUCGCGGUGAAUACGUUCCCGGGCCUUGUACACACCGCCCGUCACACCAUGAGAGUUGGCAAUACCCAACGUACGUGAUCUAACCCGCAAGGGAGGAAGCGUCCUAAGGGUAGGGUCAGCAUUGGGGUGAAGUCGUAACAAGGUACC